rnacentral:rRNA from 1 species
AGCCUGAUGCAGCGACGCCGCGUGAGGGAUGACGGCCUUCGGGUUGUAAACCUCUUUCAGCAGGGAAGAAGCCACAAGUGACGGUACCUGCAGAAGAAGCGCCGGCUAACUACGUGCCAGCAGCCGCGGUAAUACGUAGGGCGCAAGCGUUGUCCGGAAUUAUUGGGCGUAAAGAGCUCGUAGGCGGUUUGUCGCGUCUGCUGUGAAAGCCCGGGGCUUAACCCCGGGUGUGCAGUGGGUACGGGCAGACUAGAGUGCAGUAGGGGAGACUGGAAUUCCUGGUGUAGCGGUGGAAUGCGCAGAUAUCAGGAGGAACACCGAUGGCGAAGGCAGGUCUCUGGGCUGUUACUGACGCUGAGGAGCGAAAGCAUGGGGAGCGAACAGGAUUAGAUACCCUGGUAGUCCAUGCCGUAAACGUUGGGCACUAGGUGUGGGGGACAUUCCACGUUUUCCGCGCCGUAGCUAACGCAUUAAGUGCCC